UACGUAGGGGCCGAGCGUUGUCCGGAGUUAUUGGGCGUAAAGCGCGCGCAGGCGGCCUCGCGCGCCCGACGUGAAAGCCCCCGGCUUAACCGGGGAGGGUCGUUGGGGACGGCGGGGCUUGAGGGCGGGAGAGGGUGGUGGAAUUCCAGGUGUAGCGGUGAAAUGCGUAGAUAUCUGGAGGAAUACCGGUGGCGAAGGCGGCAUCCUGGACCGACAUUGACGCUGAGGAGCGAAAGCUAGGGGAGCAAACGGG
rnacentral:rRNA from 1 species